rnacentral:tRNA from 1 species
AGGAACUUAGGAUAAUUUAAACCCGAGGCCUUCAAAGCCUCUAAAAAGAGAUUUAACCUCUUAGCUCCUG